rnacentral:rRNA from 1 species
GACGAACGCUGGCGGCGUGCUUAACACAUGCAAGUCGAACGGAAAGGCCCUGCUUUUGUGGGGUGCUCGAGUGGCGAACGGGUGAGUAACACGUGAGUAACCUGCCCUUGACUUGGGGAUAACUUCAGGAAACUGGGGCUAAUACCGGAUAGGAGCUCCUGCUGCCUGGUGGGGGUUGGAAAGUUUCGGCGGUUGGGGAUGGACUCGCGGCUUAUCAGCUUGUUGGUGGGGUAGUGGCUUACCAAGGCUUUGACGGGUAGCCGGCCUGAGAGGGUGACCGGCCACAUUGGGACUGAGAUACGGCCCAGACUCCUACGGGAGGCAGCAGUGGGGAAUAUUGCACAAUGGGCGGAAGCCUGAUGCAGCAACGCCGCGUGCGGGAUGACGGCCUUCGGGUUGUAAACCGCUUUCGCCUGUGACGAAGCGUGAGUGACGGUAAUGGGUAAAGAAGCACCGGCUAACUACGUG